CGCAUGGUGCAGUGGUAGCACGUCUCAUUUGCAUUGAGAAAGUCUUGAGUUCAAUCCUCGAU
rnacentral:tRNA from 1 species